rnacentral:rRNA from 1 species
GACGAACACUGGCGGCGCGCUUAACACAUGCAAGUCGAGCGAGAACCGGGGCUUCGGCCCCGGGGACAGCGGCGAACGGGUGAGUAACACGUGAGUAACCUGCCCUCGGCACCGGAAUAGCCCGGGGAAACUCGGAUUAAUGCCGGAUAGCCCCUCUGCCCUGCGGGGCGGCGGGAAAAGGUAGCUUCGGCCUCUGGCCGAGGAUGGGCUGGCGGCGGAGUAGCUUGUUGGCGGGGUAACGGCCCACCAAGGCGACGAUCCGUAGCUGGUCUGAGAGGACGAUCAGCCAAACUGGGACUGAGACACGGCCCAGACUCCUACGGGAGGCAGCAGUGGGGAAUCUUGCGCAAUGGGCGAAAGCCUGACGCAGCGACGCCGCGUGCGGGAAGAAGGCCUUCGGGUUGUAAACCGCUUUCAGGAGGGACGAAGCCACUCGGGUGAACAGCCCAGAGGGUGACGGUACCUCCAGAAGAAGCCCCGGCUAACUACGUGCCAGCAGCCGCCGUAAUAC